rnacentral:rRNA from 1 species
GACGAACGCUGGCGGCGUGCUUAACACAUGCAAGUCGAACGGAGAUUAUUAAUGAAGCUUGCGAUUUAAUAAUCUUAGUGGCGGACGGGUGAGUAACGCGUGGGCAACCUACCCAUAAGAGGGGGAUAACAGCUGGAAACGGCUGCUAAUACCGCAUAAACUUUUUAAGACACAUGUUUUAGAAAGGAAAGGUGGCGCAAGCUAUCGCUUAUGGAUGGGCCCGCGUCUGAUUAGCUAGUUGGUGGGGUAACAGCCUACCAAGGCAACGAUCAGUAGCCGGCCUUAGAGGGUGGACGGCCACACUGGGACUGAGACACGGCCCAGACUCCUACGGGAGGCAGCAGUGGGGAAUAUUGCGCAAUGGGGGAAACCCUGACGCAGCGACGCCGCGUGAGCGAAGAAGGCCUUAGGGUCGUAAAGCUCUGUUGUAAGGGACGAAUGUUUAUCUGGCCGAACAGUCAGAUAAAGUGACGGUACCUUACCAGCAAGCCCCGGCGUAACUACGUG